CAACUAACCAAUAAGUUACAGAUUUCCUUCUUUCUUUCUUUAUUUUUCUUUUUUUUUUACAGGGGAUCAAACUUACAGCCUCACACUUUCCAGGCAGGCACUUGUUGCUGCUGAGCUAAACAGAUUUCUUUAUUCCUUCUCCAGUCCUACUGUUUCAUUUGACCAAUCUUUAAAAAAAAAAAAACAUGAAGCCGGGUAUAAUGGCACAUACCUGUAAUCCCAGCACUCAAAAGGCUUAGACAGGUGGAUUGCUUUGAGUUUGAGGCCAGUCUGGGUUACAUAGUGAGUUCAAGGCAAGUCUGAACUACACAGAAAGACCCUAUCUCAAAAAAGAGAGAAAAGAAAGAAAGAGAGAAAAAGAAGGAAAGAAAGAAAGAAAGAAGGAAGGAAAGAAAGAAAGAAAGAAAGAAAGAAAGAAAGAAAGAAAGAAAGAAAGAAAGAAAAAACAGGUACACAUCAGGUAGUAAUAAUAGAUGUAAGCUGGUAUGGUGGCAUGGGCCUAUAGAGUCAGCUACUUUGGAGGCUGAGACAGGAGAGUCAUGAGUUUGAGGGCAGCCUGGGCACCUUAGAGAGACUCUGUCUCAAAAAACAAACAAACACACAAACAUUACCUUAUCAUUGCUAUACAUGGAAAUCCAGUUUCAAUUGCCAUGAACAGACAAUAACUCUAAAAUAUGAUUAAAUGAUGAAGUAGAAAAGAUAUUGUCCUCAGCUGGGCAUGGUGUCUCACGCCUGUAAUCCCAGCACUCGGGAGGCUGAGGUGGGAGGAUCAUUGUGAGUUCGAGACCAGUCUGGGCUAUAAAGUGAGCUCAAGGCCAGCCUGAACUGCAUAGCGAGACCCCAUCUCAAAAAGGACAAAAAAAAAAUUGUCCUCAUCUUGAAUAUGUAUCUCACACCUGGAAAACACUUGCAUAGAAGGAGAUUAUUUGUAUGUGUGCAUGUUCACCUAUGUGUGUGGUACUGGGCAUUAAAGCCCAGGAUGUAAUUUCAUUUGUUUUGUUUUGUUUUGGAGCUUAAACCCAAGGACACUCUACCACUAAGCUAAUGUCCCUGAAGACUUAAGCAAUCCUGGCCCUAAAUAUAUGUCGGAUAAAUGAGAGGCUGAAUGUGAGAAAGGAUGGUUACUUUGUUUCUUUUUUUCCAAUUUAUGGUACUAGAAAUUGAAUUUUUUUUUUUUUUUUUUUUUUUUUUUUUUUGUACCAGGAAUCAAACUCAGGACUAGGCAGGUGCUGUGCAGUUGAGCUACAUCCCCGGCCCCUGGUAAUUGAAUUUAAGACCUUUGCAUUGAGCUACAUCCCCAGUCCUUUUCGUUUGUGUGUUUGUUUUUGUUUUUUAAAUAGAGUCUUAUGCAGUUCAGGCUGUACUUGAACUUACUAUGUAGUACAGGACAGCCUCAAAUUCACUGGGAUCCUCCUGUCUCAGCUUCCUGAGUGCUGGGAUUACAGGUGUGCACCAUCAUGCCAGCCCCAGCCCCAAGUUAAUAUCACUUCCUCAGCGCUGAAUACUCUAAGUUGCCCCUGAAUCAGUCUUUGACUCUUCUGAUCUCCUACAGAAAUGAAUUCCUUUCUAGUUUAGCCAUCAGACUCCCAAGGCUCCCAGAAAGCCCUACAGAGUUGCUGUUCACAAGCAGGCUGCUUGUAGGGCAUGCAGCUUUCACUCCCCUAAACAGACUGAAAAGGCACUUGCCUGCCGCACCUCCAUUCCCAGCCUUGUAAAGCAGUCACUUUUCAAGCUUUCUGGAGUUUUCACUCCUUUCUAAGACCGUGAGUUCUUGGCCAACCUAGCAGCUCCAGUCCUCCCAAUCUGAAAGGAAGUAUGAAGUGACCCUGUGGCUCCAGAGUUAAUGUAGGGAUCCUGCCCAGAGGACGGGCUUCAUGGGAGAGAGUGCAGGGCCUACUUCUAAAGCCAGAAAGAAGACGCUUCCUCCAUAAGGAGAAAGCUGGCGCUAGCUUGGGGCCAGCAGGAGAGCUGAGCUUUGGGGCCAAGGACUGUUCUGAAGUGUGGGAAGAAGUGGAGAGCAGGACCAGACAGACUGAGACAGCUCUGUGAAGAACCUGCCCUCUGAUGAUAACCAAGCCUUGCCUGAGUAGCCUGGCACUCUGCUGUCCAUGGUGGCAGCUGAUAAAGUCAGGCACCUCCAGAGAGUUUCCAUAGAACCUUCUGCUCCUGGUCAGUGGACAGAUCAACCCCAGAGCCAAGGAGAAACGAGCAAACUUUGAAACCUGACUUCCUUGGGUGUACAUCCCAGCUCUCCCUCCUAAGUGAUGUGACCUUAGCCAGGUGCUGUGCUGCUGAGCUGUAUCCGUGGCCCACAUCUUGUUUUAAAUAGAAUUUUCCAGAAGGCCUCUCUGAAAAGGUGCUGUUUGAGCCAAGGCCUCAUGACCUGGGUCCUGGAGAAGCUAAAAAGAGAGAGAAGCUAAUUAGAGGCGACUGUACCUGUCCAGGUUGGAUUGGACCGGGAUGGUAGUAACUGAAAUGAAACAAGAGAUGAAAGAUUGUGAAGGUGAAGUGGGCAGACUUGCUGGUGAAUUGCUGCAGAAUACCAGAAAAUUUUGAGACAGGUUAUGUACACUGGCCUCAAACUCAUGAUCCUCCUGCCUCAUCUUCCUAAGAAGCUGGGAUAACAGACAUGCACCACCAUACCUGGUUUGUUUAUUUUUCCCUUCCUUUCAUUGCUUCCUGAGACUGAAUCCUGGGCUUGGCUCAUACUAAGUACUGGCUUUGCCACUACUUUGCCCAGCCCCAUACUAACUGAUUUGUUAUCUGCUUUCUAAAGUUCUUCAUAAGCUUUCUACACUAUAAUUACUAACAACCCCCCCCCCCCAGGAUGGAGUCUGUGUUGCCUAAGCUGACUUGGAGCUUGUGAGAUCAAGCAGUUCUCCUGUGUCAGCUUCCCGCGUAGCUGAGACUGCAGACAUAUGCCAAGUCGUGCUUGCCAGGCAGGCACUGUGCUGCUAAGCUAUAUCCUCAGCCCUAGGUACUUCAUUCUUUUAAUGAAUUUACAUGUGUUCUCACCACCCUUUGUACCUGCCCACCCACAUUCAUAUGCACCCUCUCCUCUAGG